GUGAGCUCCUGCUGUCUCUCGUCAAUCAUCUUGGCCAUCUUAGUCAUUCCUGGGGCACAAAGAAGAAAUUGUGCAGGGAUUUCUCAAGUUGUCUCACAGACCAUCAAGACCAAAGAGAAGCAGAGGUGGGGCUGCUCCUGCUUCACCUAAAGUAGCUCCAUUUUGUCUUUUUUUGUUUGGGGAUUCUGCAUAAGAUUCCAUUUGGGGAAAUAUAAUUUUCGCCAGUAUUAUGAGAAAUUUUAAGAGGACUACUCUAAAGCCACCAGAGAAACCUAUUUCCAGGUGAUCUUCAGUGAUGGCUCAAAUUCUUAACUGCCAUUAAGUUUUACAGAACACCUACACUGGAACCUCAUAAAAAUGCUGUUAAUUAAAAAUCAACAUUUCACAUAAAA